UGGCUCAGGAUGAACGCUAGCGGCAGGCCUAAUACAUGCAAGUCGAGGGGCAGCGGGAGUAGCAAUACUUGCCGGCGACCGGCGCACGGGUGCGUAACACGUAUGCAAUCUACCUAUAACUGGGGAAUAGCCCGAAGAAAUUCGGAUUAAUACCCCAUAACAUUAUGAAGCGGCAUCGCUUUAUAAUUAAAGUUCCGACGGUUAUAGAUGAGCAUGCGUCCGAUUAGCUAGUUGGUGAGGUAACGGCUCACCAAGGCGACGAUCGGUAGGGGUACUGAGAGGUUACACCCCCACACUGGUACUGAGACACGGACCAGACUCCUACGGGAGGCAGCAGUAAGGAAUAUUGGACAAUGGUCGCAAGACUGAUCCAGCCAUGCCGCGUGCAGGGAUGAAUGCCCCUAUGGGGUUGUAAACUGCUUUUAUACGGGGAAUAAAACCCCUUGGACGUGUCCGAGGCUGAAUGUACCGUAAGAAUAAAGGGGUC
rnacentral:rRNA from 1 species